CGCAACCUUCUUUCCACCGAUCAAAGCUGACCGCUCCUUUCUUUCGUUUGUUACGAAGGAUUCAAUUCAUUCAGCUCCUUCCCAUUCACGAUCGGCUUCUCUUCUAUAUAAGCUCACCUUCUUCAUAUUCUUUCUCAUCUUAAUCUCAUCAAUCAAAAUCCUCUUUUCUUUCGAAAGCUCUGAAAAAAAAAAUCAUCUUUUCCUUCUCAGAUCUCCAAUAUGCAGAUUUUCGUGAAAACCCUCACCGGCAAGACCAUCACUCUAGAAGUCGAGAGCUCCGAUACCAUCGAUAACGUUAAGGCUAAGAUCCAAGACAAGGAAGGCAUUCCCCCAGACCAGCAGCGCCUCAUCUUUGCUGGCAAGCAGCUUGAAGAUGGCAGGACUCUUGCUGACUACAACAUUCAAAAGGAGUCCACUCUUCAUCUGGUCCUUAGGCUGAGGGGUGGGAUGCAAAUCUUUGUCAAGACUCUGACUGGGAAGACUAUUACUCUGGAAGUUGAGAGCUCGGAUACCAUUGAUAAUGUGAAGGCGAAGAUACAGGAUAAGGAGGGGAUUCCCCCGGACCAGCAGAGACUCAUUUUUGCUGGCAAGCAGCUGGAGGAUGGCCGCACCUUGGCCGAUUAUAACAUUCAGAAGGAAUCCACGCUGCAUCUGGUCCUGCGUCUUCGCGGUGGGCUGUGAGUUGGUUUCGUCCUUUGUUCUGUGGUACUCGUUUAAUGGUGGCUGUUAGUUUGGUAUGGUGUAGUUGUGUCGUGAUCUAGUUAUCGUGUCUGGGAACUACUAAAGCCUUAAUGGCUUUUAUCUUUACUUUCUCUAUGCCGUUCUAAUAAAUCGUAUUAUUA
rnacentral:misc_RNA from 1 species